rnacentral:rRNA from 1 species
CAUAGUCUCUGGAUAUAGACCCGAAACCGAGUGAUCUAGCCAUGGGCAGGUUGAAGGUUGAGUAACAUCAACUGGAGGACCGAACCGACUAAUGUUGAAAAAUUAGCGGAUGACUUGUGGCUAGGGGUGAAAGGCCAAUCAAACUCGGAGAUAGCUGGUUCUCCCCGAAAGCUAUUUAGGUAGCGCCUCGGACGAAUACUACUGGGGGUAGAGCACUGUUAAGGCUAGGGGGUCAUCCCGACUUACCAACCCUUUGCAAACUCCGAAUACCAGUAAGUACUAUCCGGGAGACACACGGCGGGUGCUAACGUCCGUCGUGGAGAGGGAAACAACCCAGACCGCCAGCUAAGGUCCCAAAUUACAGCUAAGUGGGAAACGAUGUGGGAAGGCUUAGACAGCUAGGAUGUUGGCUUAGAAGCAGCCAUCAUUUAAAGAAAGCGUAAUAGCUCACUAGUCGAGUCGGCCUGCGCGGAAGAUGUAACGGGGCUAAGUUGUAAACCGAAGCUGCGGCAAUGUUCUAUGAACAUUGGGUAGGGGAGCGUUCUGUAAGCCGUUGAAGGUGUGUUGUAAAGCAUGCUGGAGGUAUCAGAAGUGCGAAUGCUGACAUGAGUAACGACAAGGGGGGUGAAAAACCUCCCCGCCGGAAGACCAAGGGUUCCUGUCCAACGUUAAUCGGGGCAGGGUAAGUCGACCCCUAAGGCGAGGCUGAAAAGCGUAGUCGAUGGGAAACGGGUUAAUAUUCCCGUACUUCUUACAAUUGCGAUGGGGGGACGGAGAAGGCUAGGUGGGCCUGGCGACGGUUGUCCAGGUUCAAGUGCGUAGGCUGAGUGUUUAGGUAAAUCCGGACACUCUUAAGGCUGAGACACGACGUCGAGCUACUACGGUAGUGAAGUCAUUGAUGCCAUGCUUCCAGGAAAAGCCUCUAAGCUUCAGAUUGUAAGGAAUCGUACCCCAAACCGACACAGGUGGUCGGGUAGAGAAUACCAAGGCGCUUGAGAGAACUCGGGUGAAGGAACUAGGCAAAAUGGUACCGUAACUUCGGGAGAAGGUACGCUCUUGAUGGUGAAGUCCCUUGCGGAUGGAGCUGACGAGAGUCGCAGAUACCAGGUGGCUGCAACUGUUUAUUAAAAACACAGCACUGUGCAAAAUCGUAAGAUGACGUAUACGGUGUGACGCCUGCCCGGUGCCGGAAGGUUAAUUGAUGGGGUUAGCGCAAGCGAAGCUCUUGAUCGAAGCCCCGGUAAACGGCGGCCGUAACUAUAACGGUCCUAAGGUAGCGAAAUUCCUUGUCGGGUAAGUUCCGACCUGCACGAAUGGCGUAAUGAUGGCCACGCUGUCUCCACCCGAGACUCAGUGAAAUUGAAAUCGCUGUGAAGAUGCAGUGUACCCGCGGCUAGACGGAAAGACCCCGUGAACCUUUACUACAGCUUGGCACUGAACAUUGAACCUACAUGUGUAGGAUAGGUGGGAGGCUUUGAAGACGUGACGCCAGUUGCGUUGGAGCCGUCCUUGAAAUACCACCCUUGUAUGUUUGAUGUUCUAACGUUGGCCCCUAAUCGGGGUUGCGGACAGUGCCUGGUGGGUAGUUUGACUGGGGCGGUCUCCUCCCAAAGAGUAACGGAGGAGCACGAAGGUGGGCUAAUCACGGUUGGACAUCGUGAGGUUAGUGCAAUGGCAUAAGCCCGCUUAACUGCGAGAAUGACGGUUCGAGCAGGUGCGAAAGCAGGUCAUAGUGAUCCGGUGGUUCUGAAUGGAAGGGCCAUCGCUCAACGGAUAAAAGGUACUCCGGGGAUAACAGGCUGAUACCGCCCAAGAGUUCAUAUCGACGGCGGUGUUUGGCACCUCGAUGUCGGCUCAUCACAUCCUGGGGCUGAAGUCGGUCCCAAGGGUAUGGCUGUUCGCCAUUUAAAGUGGUACGCGAGCUGGGUUUAGAACGUCGUGAGACAGUUCGGUCCCUAUCUGCCGUGGGCGUUGGAAGAUUGAAGGGGGCUGCUCCUAGUACGAGAGGACCGGAGUGGACGAACCUCUGGUGUUCGGGUUGUGUCGCCAGACGCAUUGCCCGGUAGCUAAGUUCGGAAUCGAUAACCGCUGAAAGCAUCUAAGCGGGAAGCGAGCCCUGAGAUGAGUCUUCCCUGAUACUUUAAGUAUCCUAAAGGGUUGUUCGAGACUAGAACGUUGAUAGGCAGGGUGUGUAAGCGCUGUGAGGCGUUGAGCUAACCUGUACUAAUUGCCCGUGAGGCUUAACCAUACAACACCCAAAGGGUUUUG